rnacentral:rRNA from 1 species
AAGUCUUUACGGAGAAAGCUUUAUGCACCAUUGGAUGAGCCUGCACUUGAUUAGUUUGUUGGUAGGGUAAUGGCCUACCAAGACUAUGAUCAAUAGCUGAUUUGAGAGGAUGAUCAGCCACAUUGGGACUGAGACACGGCCCAAACUCCUACGGGAGGCAGCAGUGGGGAAUCUUGCACAAUGGAGGAAACUCUGAUGCAGCGAUGCCGCGUGAGUGAAGAAGGCCCUUGGGUUGUAAAGCUCUUUCGUCGGGGAAGAAAAUGACUGUACCCGAAUAAGAAGGUCCGGC